CCCAGGCAUCGUGUGAGGAAUUCAAUUCGCGCUUCAAUCAGAACGCCUGUUAGGAGGAGGGUAGAAGGGCCGGGAGCUACUGGAGUUCAAUCGGCGGGUUCGUCAGAUCUUAUUGGGGUUUCUCUCAACUACCGCUGGCGUUUGGGAUUCUAUUUUCCACGGCACAGACGGUAUUUAAGUGUUGUGGGACAGUUCUCUCAAGGUAAAAACUGAUAUUUUGCUUAACGUUAUUUUUCUAACGUUAAGUGUUGCUUGAUACUGUUUGCACCAACGCCUGUUAGCAGGAGGGUAGAAGGGCCGGGAGCUACUGGAGUUCAAUCGACGGGUUCAUCAGAUUUUAUUGGGGGUUUUCAACUACGUUACUGGCGUUUAGGAGAGGGAGUCUAUUUCUCACAGCGCAGACGGUAUACUGAAGUGUUGUGGGACUGUUCUCUCAAGAGCGAGACCCCGGAGUUAUUACAUUGCUACCCAACAGUCGCCCAGCUACUAUUCAGUCAGCCCGAGUGAUCUACAAUGGCAGCCUGUGUGACCGUCUGUUUGAAAACUCUCGCACUAUUCGUCGUCUUCGUCAGUAGAACAAAUGCAGCAGUUUACACUGCGGUUCCACAGUCAACUGCUGUACUGAAGGGUGCUACCGUCAUCAUCCCUUGCUCCUUCAGUG